GGCCCUGAGGUGACUUAGCAUAUUGGAUUGCAAAUUCAAAGAAGCAGCUUCAAUUCUGCCGGGGCUU
rnacentral:tRNA from 1 species